UACACGUCUUUUUUCCCCUCCUCGGGUGGUCAGCCUAUGGGGGAGACAUUCCCACACACCCUAGUGACAAGUACAGCAGCUACUCAAAAUCUGACUGCAACAGAUAACACAGCUACUCCAACCCCAAGCAGAGCAUCUACACUAACCCCAGCAACAAGUACAGCAGCUACUGAAAGUCCGACUGCAGCAGACAGCACAGCUACUCCAGCUCCAACACAGCAGCUACACCAGCCCCAGUGACAAGUACAGCAGCAUCACUUGAGAGUUCUGAAGGUUGUGAAUGGCCUUUAGGUACCCUUGAGACCUGCCUGCUGAUUGUGAUGGGAAUCAGCAUGCUGGAAGGCAUACAGAGUGUGUUUUACCCACCACCAUUUUGUCUGAUCUCAAAAGUUAAGCAGAGUCGUGUUUGGGUCUUGUCUAGGAUUAGACAACGAUAUAGGAGGACCAAGAGAUUUUCCACGAGGCUGGACAGUCAUGAGUGGCAGGGUGUGUGGGACAGUAUGAGCAAGUAUUUAUAUCUAGUCCACUGGGCCCCUCCAGUGCUUUGGAAGCAUUGCAGAUGGAAGGCAGCUGUAUGGAGUCCCCAGCUACAAGCUGCAGAAACUGCUGAAAGGGGCAGUGAAUUAUUUUGAGCCUGGUGGGCCCAUGGCAUUUCAGGCCAACAGAGCAGAGAUGCAACAUCGAGAUGGACUCAUGAUCGAGGGAUGGACUCAUGAUCGAGGGGUGGACUUAGCAAUGGACACUUGCCCAGGUUAUUCACAAGUGUGAGCACUGCACACAGCCUCUUGUGCUCUGAAAGACUGUUACAAGGGAUGGAGCUGGGCAUCAUGGACCAGAUGGACUCAGCAGC